AUACUAACAACCCACCGAGGGAAGUCGUUAAGAGAGACAGAUAAGAUGCUUGGUACAUAAAACACUCUCCUUGUUGCAUAGGAUGUAUGUUUUUAAUGCUAUAUCUGUUACCUGAAGUGAUUUUGCUGAAGAAAGCCCAGUUCUUAUCAUGAAAAUUGGCAAUUUUCAUUUUGGUAGCUAGGACACCCUGGGCAGACUUUCCCCUUAAAGUUGAUAUUCCAGUGGAAGGAACAGCCCUCAUUAAAUCAAAGCUACACAUUUCCAUAAUACUCCCCGCAGAGUCUCUUCACUCCUCAUAUAAUGAGAUGAUCUGAAGAGCUGGGGCACUUGGGUACCUUACAGUAUCUGG